UUGAUUUAUUCAAUAUUGACUCGGACGCAACGAUGCAGGGUUGAGCGGUCCACCGGGGGCCCGGCCGGGUCGCCCCCGAGGCAACUGGGUCGGAUAACAUGGGGUUGGAGGUCGGGCCCGGAAGCCCUUGCUCGGUAAUGAUCCCUCCGCAGGUUCACCUACGGAGA
rnacentral:misc_RNA from 1 species